rnacentral:rRNA from 1 species
AUUGAACGCUGGCGGCAGGCCUAACACAUGCAAGUCGAGCGAGCGGCGGACGGGUGAGUAAUGCCUGGGUAACCGCCUUAUGGAGGUGGAUUACUUCCGGAAAAGGUAGCCUAUUCCGCAUAUUAUUAGAUCUUCCCAGAUGGGAGUAGCUGGUGGGUAGGGUAACGGCUGACCAAGGCGACGAUCCCUAGCUGGUCUGAGAGGGUGACCAGCCACACUGGAACUGAGACACGGUCCAGACUCCUACGGGAGGCAGCAGUGGGGAAUAUUGCACAAUGGGCGAAAGCCUGAUACAGCCAUGCCGCGUGUGUGAAGAAGGCCUUCGGGUUGUAAAGCACUGUCAGCGGGGAGGCGUUACCCGCAGAAGAAGCACCGGCUAACUCCGUGCCAGCAGCCGCGGUAAUUC